UGCUACCAUUAAACUUAAUUAUAAGCUGCUCUAGUCUUACAUUAAGUGUGAUGGUAAGGGAUUAAUUGUAGAGCACUUCCUAGUUAAUCUAAUAUGUAAGAAAAAAUAAGAAAGUUAUUAACUUUUAUAACUAAUUUACUCAAUUGAAUAAAUUUGCAUCUUUAGUUAAUAAUUGAUACAUGUUACAUGGUGGAUACACUCUCUUUACUGAAUUUGUUACAAUCUGAUUGUGUUGAGUAUUCAUAAGUAUCAUUAGCCUUAGUUUAUAUUCUA
rnacentral:misc_RNA from 1 species